rnacentral:rRNA from 1 species
ACGGGUGAGUAACGCGUGGGGAAUCUACCUUUUUGUGGGGAAUAACGCUCCGAAAGGAGUGGUAAUACCGCAUGAGACCGUGGCCUGGGAUGGCUACGGUGAAACCUGGGGACCGCAAGGCCUGGGGCAAAAAGAGGAUCCUGCGUCUGAUUAGCUAGUUGGCGGGGUAAUGGCCCACCAAGGCGACGAUCAGUAGCCGGCCUGAGAGGGUGAUCGGCCACACUGGAACUGAGACACGGUCCAGACUCCUACGGGAGGCAGCAGUGGGGAAUUUUGCGCAAUGGACGAGAGUCUGACGCAGCAACGCCGCGUGGGUGAUGAAGGUCUUCGGACUGUAAAACCCUGUCGUCAGGGACGAAGGUGCGCGUGUUAAUAGCAUGUGCGCUUGACGGUACCUGGAGAGGAAGCCCCGGCUAACUCUGUGCCAGCAGCCGCGGUAAUACAGAGGGGGCAAGCGUUAUUCGGAAUUAUUGGGCGUAAAGGGCGCGUAGGCGGUUUUUUAAGUCAGAUGUGUAAUCCCCGAGCUCAACUUGGGAACUGCAUCUGAGACUGGAAGGCUAGAGUACUGGAGAGGGUGGUGGAAUUCCUCGUGUAGCGGU